rnacentral:rRNA from 1 species
GAGCGGGAAGAGCUCAAAUUUGAAAUCUGGUAGCCUUCGGUUGCCCGAGUUGUAAUCUAGAGAAGUGUUUUCCGUGCCGGCCCAUGUACAAGUCCCUUGGAACAGGGCGUCAUAGAGGGUGAGAAUCCCGUCCUUGACAUGGACCCCCGGUGCUUUGUGAUACACUUUCAACGAGUCGAGUUGUUUGGGAAUGCAGCUCAAAAUGGGUGGUGAAUUCCAUCUAAAGCUAAAUAUUGGCGAGAGACCGAUAGCGAACAAGUACCGUGAGGGAAAGAUGAAAAGCACUUUGGAAAGAGAGUUAAACAGUACGUGAAAUUGUUGAAAGGGAAACGAUUGAAGUCAGUCAUGCUCUUGGGACUUACCUCCCUUGAGUGGGGUCAACAUCAGUUUUGAUCGAUGGAUAAAGGCACGGGGAAGGUAGCACUCUCGGGUGAACUUAUAGCCUCGCGUCAUAUACAUUGAUUGGGACUGAGGAACGCAGCAUGCCUUAUGGCCGGGAUUCGUCCACGUACAUGCUUAGGAUGUUGACAUAAUGGCUUUAAACGACCCGUCUU